UAGGGGACAAGCGUUAUCCGGAUUCCUGGGCGUAAAGAGCGUUGAGGCGGUUCCGUAAGUUGGGCGUGAAAGCUCCGGGCUUAACUCGGAGAUGUCGUUCAAUACUGCGGGGCUUGAGGACAGCAGAGGAAGGUGGAAUUCCCGGUGUAGUGGUGAAAUGCGUAGAUAUCGGGAGGAACACCCGUGGCGAAGGCGGCCUUCUGGGCUGUUCCUGACGCUGAAGGCGAAAGCUAGGGGAGCGAACGGGAUUAGAUACCCCGGUAGUCCUAGCUGUAAACGAUGGAUGCUGGGUGUGGGGGGUGUAAAUUCCCUCUGUGCCGAAGCAAACGCGUUAAGCAUCCCGCCUGGGGACUACGGCCGCAAGGCUAAAACUCAAACGAAUUGACGGGGGCCCGCACAAGCAGCGGAGCGUGUGGUUUAAUUCGAUGCUACACGAAGAACCUUACCUGGGUUUGACAUGCACGUGGUAGGGAACCGAAAGGGGACCGACCUUCGGGAGCGUGCACAGGUGCUGCAUGGCUGUCGUCAGCUCGUGCCGUGAGGUGUCGGGUUAAGUCCCGUAACGAGCGCAACCCUUGCCCUUAGUUACAAGUGUCUAAGGGGACUGCCCGGGACAACUGGGAGGAAGGUGGGGAUGACGUCAAGUCAGCAUGGCCUUUAUAUCCAGGGCUACACACACGCUACAAUGGCCGGUACAAUAGGUUGCGAAGUCGUGAGGCGGAGCCAAUCCUCAAAGCCGGUCUCAGUUCGAAUUGCAGUCUGCAACUCGACUGCAUGAAGCUGGAGUUGCUAGUAAUCGCAGGUCAGCUAUACUGCGGUGAAUACGUUCCCGGGCCUUGUA
rnacentral:rRNA from 1 species